CACAUAAAUAAAUUCAAGAACUUGCAUGAUGUGUCUUGGACCAUGGCGAAUGGAGAAUCUAAAGACCUACUGUAUAGGCAACACAAUUCAUGAUUGUUUCGUUCUCCUACUUUCUUUGUGAUUGCCGGAGGAGUGACUGACAGUGACUGUGUGUACUCUGUCCUGCCCCUCUACCAUUCCCACGGCCUCGCACACAGUGGAGGGCCUAUGAUCUACACAGGAGCCACUCUCGUCAUUAGGAAAAAGUUCUCUGCCAAACACUGUUGGACUGAUAGUGCAAAGUACAACUGCACUAUGGUGUGCACGAUUGGGGAGUUGAAUCGCUACGUGUUGGCCCAACCCCCUCAAUCCACUGACACACAAAGUACGUCUAAUCAUCACUGCAGGACUCAGAAAAGAGCUGUGGCUGGAGUUCCAGAAACGAUUUGAAGUGGAUCACAUUAUCGAGUUUUAUGGCUCCACUGAGGGCAACUUUGGUAUCAUCAACAUUGACAACAAGCCAGGAUUGUCAAGCCAGGAUCUGUUGGAGCUCUCCCACUGUUUGUACCAUCCCUUCAAAACGUCACUAUAUUGAAGCUUCAUCCGGAGACUGGCGAUUACCUAAAAGAUGAGAAUGGUUUCUGUGUCGAGUGUGGUGUGAGCGAACCUGGUGAAACUGUUUGUGAGAUUACUUAAGUCUCUCCCUUCUACGGAUAUCGAAACAAAGAAAACUCGGCAAAGAAAAUUCUUAGGAAUUGUUUCAAAGCAGGAGAUGCUUUUUUCAGAACUGGAGACAUAAUGCGCAUUGACGAGGAAGGUUGGGUGUAUUUCUGUGAUCGAUCUGGGGACACGUUUCGUUGGAAGGGGGAGAACGUAUCCACGGCAGAGGUUGAGACUCGUAUUGCUACUGUGUUGAAGUUGACGGAUGUGGUGGUGUACGGUGUUGAGGUGCCUGGUAACGAGGGGCGUGCUGGAAUGGCUGCCAUUGUGGGGACUGUGGUCAUGCAGGAAAGCACUCUGGCUGGAUGAGACACAGAGGAGGCACUAACUGACGACAAGAAGACAAUGUUCGACUGGUGUAAGGAGGGGAAUGAAAAGAAAUUACGAUCUCUACUCUCUGACACCAAUGUCAAUCAAACUGACCAAGAGGGGAUGGGUCUUCUUCACUGGGCCUGUGACUGUGGCAACCUGAACAUGGUGAAACUACUUGUGAUGAGGGGAGCAGAUGUUAAUAUUGAGGACACAGACAAUCAGACACCUCUUCAUUAUGCGGCUAGACUGUGACAACUUUCUGGUGAACAACAGGACACUACGGAUUCUGAUGGAUCAGCAAAGAUCUGCCUAUGCACAUUCUGAACACCGAGGUGUUGGGGUUCAUGGUCAAACCAGAGGACUAUGAGAGCCUGGACCACACUGCUCAGGACUUCCUCAACAUUAAGUUGGACAACCUUGUGGACCACCCCCCUAUACUGUACAGUCAGUACAUCUCCAGACCACCCCCUGUCAAGAACACCUUGGGGUUGGACGCGGUGUUCAUGAUUGGGCUAGUACGGAGGCCAGAAAGAAGGAACCGGAUGAUUUUAAGCCUGGACGAGCUCAACUUCAACUACACCCUCUUUGAUGCUGUCGAUGGAAGACAGUUGAAUCAGAGCUACCUGGACAGUCUGGGCAUCAAGUACCUACCUGGCUGGAAGAACCCUUGGGGAGAACGACCUAUGACCUUUGGAGAGGUCGGCUGUUUCCUUAGUCACCACACGAUAUGGCAGCAGAUGAUGACGGAGGGUCUGGAUCAAAUCCUGAUUCUGGAGGAUGAUGUCGUGUUUGAGCCCUACUUCCGACAUGACCUCACUAGAGUGCUGGAAGAGUCCAAUCGGAUCACACCAAACUGGGACCUCAUGGGAUGGUCUUCUUCACUGGGCCUGUGACCGUGGCAACCUGAACAUGGUGAAACUACUUGUGAAGAGGGGAGCAGAUGUUAAUAUUGAGGACACAGACAAUCAGACACCUCUUCAUUAUGCGGCUAGACUGUGACAACUUUCUGGUGAACAACAGGACACUACGGAUUCUGAUGGAUCAGCAAAGAUCUGCCUAUGCACAUUCUGAACACCGAGGUGUUUGGGUUCAUGGUCAAACCAGAGGACUAUGAGAGCCUGGACUACGCUGUCUGCACUUUAAGCUGGACAACCUUGGCUAAUGAAUGAGACUGCUGUAACCAGAGACCAGCUUAGAUGGAUGGUUACACUUCACUGGGAAAGCAGAAUGCUGUGUCAUGUGAUCAUCAUGCUGUCAUCUCUUAUCUACUGCAAGUGGCCAAAGCAAGAACAGACAUUGCAGAUUGUGAUGGCAACCUACCUCAAGAUGUGACUGAGAAUCAACAACAAUCUAGGUAUCCGGUAACCGCAGUGCAUUUCAGAGGCUUAAUGAUCUUUACCAAAUCAGACACGUAAAUAAAUUCAAGGACUUGCAUGAUGUGUCUUGGACCACCAUGGCGAAUGGAGAAUCUAAAGACCUACUGUAUAGGCAACACAGUUCAUGAUUGUUUCGUUCUCCUACUUUCUUUGUGAUUGCCGGAGGAGUGACUGACAGUGACUGUGUGUACUCUGUCCUGCCCCUCUACCAUUCCCACGGCCUCGCACACGGUGGAGGGCCUAUGAUCUACACAGGAGCCAUUCUCGUCAUUAGGAAGAAGUUCUCUGCCAAACACUUUUGGACCGAUAGUGCAAAGUACAACUGCACUAUGGUGUGCACGAUUGGGGAGUUGAAUCGCUACGUGUUGGCCCAACCCCCUGGCUGUAUCCGAACCAUGACCCUUUCGAGGAGCAUGACGAGAGGUUUGUCCAUGUUGCCCUGCUGAGACAGGAAGGUCUGGAGGCGGCCAGGCGUUCAGGGGCAGACUACCUCUUUCGGCUAGACUGUGACAACUUUCUGGUGAACAACAGGACACUACGGAUUCUGAUGGAUCAGCAAAGAUCUGCCUAUGCACAUUCUGAACACCGAGGUGUUUGGGUUCAGAGGACUAUGAGAGCCUGGACUAUGAGAGCCUGGACCACCCUGCCUGCACUUUAAGCUGGACAACCUUGGCUAAUGAAGGAGACUGCUGUAACCAGAGAUCAGAUGGAUGGUGUCACUUCACUGGGAAAGCAGAAUGCUGUGUCAUGUGAUCAUCAUGCUGUCAUCUCUUAUCUACUGCAAGUGGCCAAAGCAAGAACAGACAUUGCAGAUUGUGAUGGCAACCUACCUCAAGAUGUGACUGAGAAUCAACAACAAUCUAGGUAUUCAGUAACCACGGUGUAUUUCAGAGGCUUAAUGAUCUUUACCGCAUGAUGUGUCUUGGACCAUGGCGAAUGGAGAAUCUAAAGACCUACUGUAUAGGCAACACAAUUCAUGAUUGUUUCGUUCUCCUACUUUCUUUGUGAUUGCCGGAGGAGUGACUGACAGUGACUGUGUGUACUCUGUCCUGCCCCUCUACCAUUCCCACGGCCUCGCACACGGUGGAGGGCCUAUGAUCUACACAGGAGCCACUCUCGUCAUUAGGAAGAAGUUCUCUGCCAAACACUUUUGGACCGAUAGUGCAAAGUACAACUGCACUAUGGUGUGCACGAUUGGGGAGUUGAAUCGCUACGUGUUGGCCCAACCCCCUGGCUGUAUCCAAACCUUGACCCUUUCGAGGAGCAUGACGAGAGGUUCGUCCAUGUUGCCCAGUUGAGACAGGAAGGUCUGGAGGCGGCCAGGCGUUCAGGGGCAGACUACCUCUUUCGGCUAGACUGUGACAACUUUCUGGUGAACAACAAGACACUAGGGAUUCUGAUGGAUCAGCAAAGAUCUGCCUAUGCACAUUCUGAACACCGAGGUGUUUGGGUUCAGAGGACUAUGAGAGCCUGGACUAUGAGAGCCUGGACCACCCUGCCUGCACUUUAAGCUGGACAACCUUGAUGAUGACAGAGGGUCUGGAUCAAAUCCUGAUUCUGGAGGAUGAUGUCGUGUUUGAGCCCUACUUCCGACAUGACCUCACUAGAGUGCUAGAAGAGGCCAAUCGGAUCACACCAAACUGGGACCUCAUGUGAGAGCUCUGGA